CAGAAAGGAAUGGCAGGAAAUCUUCAAUGGGAUGAACAGAAAAGAUAUGCAGCCAAGAAUCCUUUACCAGCAAGGCCUUCAUUCAGAGUAGAAGGAAAGAUAGAGUUUCCCAGACAUACAAAAACUGAAGGAGUU